GUAGGGAAUAAUGGGCAAUGGUCGGAAGACUGACCCAGCCAUGCCGCGUGCAGGAAGACGGCCCUCUGGGUUGUAAACUGCUUUUAUCUGGGAAGAAAAAGGCCAUGCGUGGCAAAUUGCCGGUACCAGAUGAAUAAGCACCGGCUAACUCCGUGCCAGCAGCCGCGGUAAUACGGAGGGUGCGAGCGUUGUCCGGAUUUAUUGGGUUUAAAGGGUGCGUAGGCGGCUGAUUAAGUCAGCGGUGAAAGACUUCGGCUUAACCGGAGCAGUGCCGUUGAUACUGGUUGGCUUGAGUGUCGGAGGGGUACAUGGAAUUGAUGGUGUAGCGGUGAAAUGCAUAGAUACCAUCAGGAACACCGAUAGCGAAGGCAUUGUACUGGCCGACAACUGACGCUGAUGCACGAAAGUGUGGGGAUCGAACAGGAUUAGAAACCCUGGUAGUCC
rnacentral:rRNA from 1 species